rnacentral:rRNA from 1 species
AUUGAACGCUGGAGGCAGGCCUAACACAUGCAAGUCGAGCGGAGCGGCGGACGGGUGAGUAAUGCCUAUGAAUCUGCCUGGUCGUGGGGGAUAACGUCCGGAAACGGGCGCUAAUACCGCAUACUAUCAGAUGAGCCUAGGGCGGAUUCGCUAUGUGGUGGGGUAAAGGCCUACCAAGGCGACGAUCCGUAACUGGUCUGAGAGGAUGAUCAGUCAAACUGGAACUGAGACACGGUCCAGACUCCUACGGGAGGCAGCAGUGGGGAAUAUUGGACAAUGGGCGAAAGCCUGAUCCAGCCAUGCCGCGUGUGUGAAGAAGGUCUUCGGAUUGUAAGGCACUGUCAGCGGGGAGGCGUUACCCGCAGAAGAAGCACCGGCUAACUCCGUGCCAGCCGCCGCGGUAAUUC